GCGCGUCGCCCUCAGCCCUGGCCACCUAUUGUUCAGUCACUUACAUGGUUUUAUCUUUUGGGGACGUGAAUUCUCUUAGGAUAUUUCCAAUCCCGUUGGGCGCCAAUUAUAUUUCUAAGCAGCUGAACUCUUUGGUUGAUCUGGUCCCUUGCCACGGUCCGUGACCAAUUGUCUUCUCUUCUUUGAAGAUUAUGAUGGGAAGAACUUCCUUCCGUUAUUACCGGCCCUUAAGGCACGAUAACCCAAUUAAAUGAAUAUAUUGACGGCUUAGCCGGAGUUUGAUUAGGAGCGACGCGCUCUUUAUUCAAUUCUAAACUAAAACUUAACUCCCAGAUCCCCAGCUCGCGAACCAUUUAUGCAAGAAUGGAAUUCGCUGAUCCCAGCACAUCCGGCAGAAUCAGGCGACUGCCGUUGGCCAAUGGAGUGAGGGACGGCCCAGGGAAACUGAGCGCUGCAAGAUGUUUAUGUGUGGGGUGACGCAAGAUGAUGAAGUUAAGGUGGUGCGAUAACUUGUAAUAUGUGUUAACUUAUAUAUAUACAUUUAUAUAUAUACACAAUGUAAAAUAUAUACUGACAAAUCUGAAACAAA